rnacentral:rRNA from 1 species
AGAGUUUGAUCCUGGCUCAGGAUGAACGCUGGCGGCGUGCCUAAUACAUGCAAGUCGAACGAGGUGCUUUUGUAGUAAUACGGAAGUAUCCUAGUGGCGAACGGGUGAGUAACGCGUUGGUGACCUAUCCCAAAGUGUGGGAUAACAGUCCGAAAGGACUGUUAAUACCGCAUGUGGUCUUCGGGUUUAGAAACCGAUGACUAAAGGAGUAAUUCGCUUUGGGAGGGACCUGCGUCCCAUCAGCUAGUUGGUAGGGUAAUGGCUUACCCAGGCUACGAUGGGUAGGGGACCUGAGAGGGUGGUUCCCCAUAAUGGAAUUGAAAUAUGGUCCAUACACCUAUGGGUGGCAGUAGUAGGGAAUAUUGCAUAAUGGGCGAAAGCCUGAUGCAGCAACGCCGCGUGUGCGAUGAAGGCCUUUGGGUCGUAAAGCACUUUUCUGAGAGAUGAGAAAGGAUAGUAUCUCAGGAAUAAGUCUCGGCUAACUACGUGCCAGCAGCCGCGGUAAAACGUAGGAGGCGAGCGUUAUCCGGAUUCACUGGGUGUAAAGCGCGUGCAGGCGGUUCGGUAAGUUGGGCGUGAAAUCUCCUGGCUUAACUAGGAGAGGUCGUUCAAUACUACCGGGCUAGAGAGCGGUAGAGGAAGAUGGAAUUCCCGGUGUAGUGGUGAAAUGCGUAGAUAUCGGGAGGAACACUAGUGGCGAAGGCGAUCUUCUGGACCAUUUCUGACGCUCAGACGCGACAGCUAGGGUAGCAAACGGGAUUAGAGACCCCGGUAGUCCUAGCCGUAAACGAUGUGAACUUGGCGUCGGUGGGUUAAACUCCAUCGGUGCCGUAGCCAACGCGAUAAGUUCACCACCUGGGGACUACGGCCGCAAGGUUAAAACUUAAAGGAAUUGAUGG